rnacentral:rRNA from 2 species
UGAGGAAUAUUGGUCAAUGGACGAGAGUCUGAACCAGCCAAGUAGCGUGAAGGAUGAAGGUUCUAUGGAUUGUAAACUUCUUUUAUACGGGAAUAAACGAAUCCACGCGUGGAUUUUUGCAUGUACCGUAUGAAUAAGGAUCGGCUAACUCCGUGCCAGCAGCCGCGGUAAUACGGAGGAUCCGAGCGUUAUCCGGAUUUAUUGGGUUUAAAGGGAGCGUAGAUGGGUUGUUAAGUCAGUUGUGAAAGUUUGCGGCUCAACCGUAAAAUUGCAAUUGAUACUGGCAGUCUUGAGUACAGUUGAGAUAGGCGGAAUUCGUGGUGUAGCGGUGAAAUGCUUAGAUAUCACGAAGAACUCCGAUUGCGAAGGCAGCUUACUAACCUGUAACUGACAUUGAUGCUCGAAAGUGUGGGUAUCAAACAGGAUUAGAUACCCUGGUAGUCCACACGGUAAACGAUGAAUACUCGCUGUAGGCGAUAUACGGUCUGCGGCCAAGCGAAAGCAUUAAGUAUUCCACCUGGGGAGUACGCCGGCAACGGUGAAACUCAAAGGAAUUGACGGGGGCCCGCACAAGCGGAGGAACAUGUGGUUUAAUUCGAUGAUACGCGAGGAACCUUACCCGGGCUUAAAUUGCAACCGAAUAUGGCGGAAACGCCAUAGCUAGCAAUAGCGGUUGUGAAGGUGCUGCAUGGUUGUCGUCAGCUCGUGCCGUGAGGUGUCGGCUUAAGUGCCAUAACGAGCGCAACCCUUGCCGAUAGUUACUAACAGGUUAUGCUGAGGACUCUGUCGGGACUGCCAUCGUAAGAUGUGAGGAAGGUGGGGAUGACGUCAAAUCAGCACGGCCCUUACGUCCGGGGCUACACACGUGUUACAAUGGGGGGUACAGAGGGCUGCUACCACGCAAGUGGAUGCCAAUCCCAAAAACCUCUCUCAGUUCGGAUUGAAGUCUGCAACCCGACUUCAUGAAGCUGGAUUCGCUAGUAAUCGCGCAUCAGCCACGGCGCGGUGAAUACGUUCCC